UACGAAGGGGGCGAGCGUUGUUCGGAUUUACUGGGCGUAAAGAGCGCGCAGGCGGUCGUUCAAGUCGCGUGUGAAAGCCCCCGGCUCAACUGGGGAGGGUCACGCGAUACUGAUCGACUCGAAGGCAGGAGAGGGUAGUGGAAUUCCCGGUGUAGUGGUGAAAUGCGUAGAGUAUCGGGAGGAACACCAGUGGCGAAGGCGACUACCUGGCCUGUUCUGACGCUGAGCGCGAAAGCUA
rnacentral:rRNA from 1 species